rnacentral:tRNA from 2 species
GGGGCCUUAGCUCAGCUGGGAGAGCACCUGCUUUGCAAGCAGGGGGUCACCGGUUCGAUCCCGGUAGGCUCCA